rnacentral:lncRNA from 1 species
UUACAUUUAAAUUAUACCUCAAUAAACCCUUUUGGAAAAAAAAUCAUGUGUCAUCUCCAUUAUACUGAACUCUCUGCAGAUCCCCCCAAAUCUCUCUUAGGCUUGUCAGCCUUUGUCUACUCUAUUUUCUCUGCCAAGACAUUUUCAUUUAAUCGUUAAGACUUGGAUUAGAUGCUACGUCCUCUGGGAAACCUUCCAUUUUUCUGCAUGACUCUUCUUGGUGUUUCUUUGCUAUCCCAGCCCCGUUUGUGUGGUGUUGAGGUGCGUGUCUGUGUUUGUAUUCUCUGCUAGACUGUAGGAUCAGUAAAAGUAGGGAUUUCAUCCUGUUUAUCAUCAUUGUAUUCCUAUCAUCUACCUUAGUCUUGCUAAGUAUCUGGUAAUCUAUAACUUGCAAGGAUAAAGUGGCUACUCUCCAGCAUAUUCACCAGGACUUUCUGUUUUCGGAAACCUCCCUGGAAGCUCCAAAAAAUUAAGAAAUAUCACAGAAAUUACUUGCAAAAUCCUUGCACUAGAGCAGACAUGCUUGACUAUGGAGCCACUGAGCUUAUAAACCUGAGAGGUGGAUACCUAGAGGAAGAUAUUUUGAGAAGAUGGAAGUGAGUUCCCUGAAAAUCCAUGGUCCAUAACACCUUAUCCAUUUUUAUAGCCACAAUCGACAAGAAUGCUCAUCCUAUUUGCUUUCCUUGCUUGACAAUAUAAUUUCAGAGACUGGUGAAAGAUGUUUUCAGCACUAGAAUCAAUACUUCGGAUUACAGCUGCUUUUGUGCUCGUCUCUCCCCAGUGAAAACAUUGCUGGGGAAAUGGGAAGAUAUAUGGAAGCUCCAUAUCUCCUGAUAUUUUAGCUCUCAAGAAUCUGUCUGUUCUAAUCAAUUGCUGCAUUUAUUUUGAAGAAUUUUGAAGGCAGGGGUACAGGGUAAGAGGAGAGAAAUGAUAACUUUGAGGCACUUGUUCUAAAGCUGUUGUAUCUGAACAAAUAAGGAGCCAUACGCCCACCUCUGAUUCAGAAUUGCAUUUCUUUUCCUACAGAUCCCAAGCCAAGGGCAUCUUGUAAAAGCUCUUAGUGUAGUUGGGAAAUGCCUCCAUAUUUCUCUUAAUCUAUACUUUCAAGGAAUUCUCAUUCAAGAUGGAGGAUAGACCACCUGCAUUGGGAGAACGGGCCAUCACCUCCCUUGAUAGCCAAAUCCCACAGAAAUGUCCAUCUCAGGCCACACCCUCAGGUGAGCCAGAAAUGUCACUUUUUCUGCUUGUCCUUAACAGAAUUGAUUUCUCUUUGCAUUUGUCUGAGUGGUGGAGACUUUCUCUCUUUCAGUUCAGGGUUUCUCCUCCUGUAACAUCCCAGUUGCAUUAAGUUCUGGGAAACUUCAGAGAGCCAAAGUGUUCAGGGAUUGGGGGUGAGGGGUGCCCAUCUUUUUCUCAGUUUCAGUUUUCCAUGAUAGACCUCAUU